CACAGCGGCGUAUGAGGAGAAAAGUCCUCUUGAUCAGGAGAAAUGGCGCUCCCAGCUGUCAGAAGAAGAUAUGAGUAACUCCUUCUUAUCCAAAGAAAGGAGCCAUAAUAAUACUUAUGUUCCUAACUCUGCGAGGCACCACCUCACUGCGUGGCGUAAUGCUAGCUACGGCUCCCACACCCACCCGGCCCCUCGCACUUUAUGAUGUGCCAUAUGUGCAGGUGUAAUGAGCGAGGCAGGUGUGUGAACGCGGGUGAGGGCCAGGUACAGGUGAGAGAGAGAUAGAGUUAGAGGUUCAGUGUCGCGGCAACUGUGGUGGUGAGUGCACGCGCACGGACGCACCUACGCACGGACGCACGGACUUACGGACACAUGUUCGUAUUGAUCAGCCCAGCGAGGAAGGACCCCCUACCAGCCCGGCAUUCGCGGUCGCCACUUGAGCGCUCGAGAGACUAGCGGCCGCUCAGAACACAUACGAGCGAGACAGUGGUUAGGCUUUGGGUAUGUGCGAGACGCCGUGUGUGUUGGUGGCGCGCUUAAGCAGCUGUUUCGCCGUGCUCCCUGUGUUUACGUAGCCGUGCUCAGUUCUUCUGUUUAAAGUGUUUAGCGGGAUGAUGUAAGGUGGGGCUACGAUAUGUCUCGCUAUGUGGCACUACUCCUUCUUGCCUUACAAGCCGUGUAUGACUGCCGCACCCUCGCUUCCGGGAACAUAGGAUGCCUGUUUAGCGACACCCUGUGCGAGAGGGACAGCGAGUGGUGUUUCGACGGUGAGUUUGCUGCCGCCUCCCGCCGGGCGAAGCGGCGCUCGUCUGUUGCUGUUCCGG